UUUGGUGAGUUUGCUUUUAACAGUCACUCUGUGCCAUCUAAUCAAGUCAGAACAUAGCAGAGAUGGCAGUGGUUAUCUGUGGAAGACAUUGUUAGUUGUCACAAAUCGGAGGAAAGGGUGCUAUUGUGUGGGUAGAUCAGGGAAGUUGCUAAACAUCCUACAGUGUAUAGAAUGGGCCCUGCCUACAAUAAAGACUUCAAAAACCUUAAAC